UAUCACUAACGUUAGCUAUAGUGACAGUUGCUAACGGAAUGUGACUCGAGUUGUUACAGACUCUUCUGUUGCUAUGCAAUGUAAGCAGUGUCCAUGUAGAGACCCUCCUGACUCAUUACUGGCUUCAUCACGGUCACCAGGGAAAAAGCUGGCCCUGCCUCCACCCCCAGUGUGUGUGUAUUUUUAAGACUUCAGGAUACAGAUGCUGAGGAGGACUACUAGAGGCAUGAAAAUUGGAAUAUUGACCGUCAUUGAAGACGACCUCGUCAUGAAAGCACCGGACACUGUCACCAAUAUCGCCAUCGCCCUGGAAGAGACUGUUGUUCUACAGGACAUCAAGGAUCUUCCAUCUGCACUGGCCUACCUAUUCGGACUCCUGCAUAGCAUUAAUAUGUUACCCGAAAGAACUGAAAUAUACGUUCGAGGUGUUGCAAAAGAUUUUCCUGGGCCUUGAUGCUGGCAGUUGUUCUGCAAGAACGCAGUCUUUCAAGAUGAAGCUGCAUGCCCUUGGGGAUUUAACAUAGGGGUGCCAAUACUUAUGACCCCUGUAUUUUAAGAAAGAACAUUUAUUUAUUUAUGAUACAUUAUUCAUUCACAAAGAAAAUUG